rnacentral:other from 1 species
AUGGGGCUUUUGCUUCUCGUUAGGUAUAACUUUCCCAGGGGCCGAUAUUAUUCCUUCGGGAGCUGUCCCUGCCUAAACUUGAGGGUUUUGGCAUAUGGCGCCCACCUGCUUUUGCGGGCCACGAGAGGAUACAUUGCACCGACGGUUGUGAAGGCUUCAUU